rnacentral:rRNA from 1 species
UACGUAGGGUGCGAGCGUUAAUCGGAAUUACUGGGCGUAAAGCGUGCGUAGGCGGUCCGCGAAGUCUGAUGUGAAAUCCCCGGGCUCAACCUGGGAAUUGCUUCCGAGACUGUCAGGCUAGAGAUCGGUAGAGGGAUGCGGAAUUCCAGGUGUAGCGGUGAAAUGCGUAGAUAUCUGGAGGAACACCGGUGGCGAAGGCGGCAUCCUGGACCAACACUGACGCUGAGUGAGCGAAAGCCAGGGGAGCAAAGCGGGG